CGGCCCGAGGACUGGCCUCCACCGCCGCCGGCGCUGCCCGCCCGCCCGCCGUCCGCCGCCCGCCGGGGAGAGGGGUGCGGGGCCGAGUCGGGGGGCACAGCGUGCGGGGUGUGGUCUGGGGCGGUGGCGCGCGCGUGCGGGGCACAGAGGGCCUCGGGGUAGGUGGGAGGGUGCGGCGGAGCCUGGGAGAUAGAGCAAGCUCGGCGAUCGAGGUGUGGGCCGCGCGGCGCGGAAUGGAAGCGCGGGGAGUGCUCGGCGGAAGCCCGGGGUGCAGUGGGAUCGCCGGCUGAGGCCCGGGGAGGUUUAUUCACCCCGAGUCCAGGCACCGUGGGAGAAGAUUGCAGUCGGUAGUGGGUUCCGGGUGAGGGACGUCCUGACGCUCAAACUGGGAAUGGAGGGUUCCGCAGGGGAGCAGGGAGCGAGGCUGCAUCGGGGUUCGGGCAUAGAGUUGGGGUAAUGUAGAGCUAGGCUGUGAGGUGAGCCAUAGGGGAUGCUGGGCCUGGGGGUGAGGAGGCGAUGAGAGGUGCGCGGAGAGUCUGCAGACCGGGCUCACACUGUGUAGUCCGCAUAAGCAGCCCGGGCGAGAGUCGGUGUGCAGAACAGUGCGUCCUCGAGGCUAGACCUCUUGGCACAUGAGACUGUGGGCACCUCGGCGAGGGGUUCAGCCACUUAAAGACAGAAAAGAGGCUGUAGGUGGCUGAUGGAGUGGAAAGGGGCCUGUAGGAGCAGAGCUGGGCCAGGACUCGAGUACAUGAGCAUCGGGCUGCUGUCAGGUCUGGGGUGACAGCCAAAGCUGGGUGUGAGCAGGUGCCCAUCAGCUUCGGAGGGUCUGAGCAUUUCGGCACCCGCACGCACCUUCUUGCUCCAACUUGCAGGCCCCACUUGCAGCCCUGUCAACCGGUGGGCGGGGGCAGUGCUGAAGGGGGCGGGCCGCGGGCGCUCGCGCGCGCUCCUCACCAAUUACCGCUGUGUGGGCGGAGCUGAAGCUCGUGACUGACAGACGGGCUGGAGAAGACAAUCUAACUCCGCCCAUUCGCCAGUUUGCGCGCGCACUUGCCCCCUACUCCCCUACCCGCCUCUCCCCGGGUGGCUUUCAAGAGGGGAGGCCUGCUGGGACUUCCCUACUUUUCCACGCCGGUGCGAUCCCGGCGCUGGCACCAUUCAAGCCGCGUGUUCACCGAUGAGCGUCUACAAAGUUGGAAAGAAACUUCCAGAAGCGCCUCUGGUAGACGCGAGCCCGCAGACGGGUGAAAUCUAUGGAGCCUCACUGUUGGAGACUGCCCCCCCCCCCGCCCCGAAACAGGAGGGAGGCAUGUCUGCAGAGGAGCUGCUGUUUACGAGAAUUAGGCAAGAAGUUAACAUUUUGUUCCCAAACCCAAGACCUCAAGUGGCAUCCUGGUACUGCUGUACGUGGAGAAGGCGUCCCAGCUGCCCUUAGGGUGCACUCACCCAGGAAUAUCUGCUCUUCCCGAAGCACCUUAGGGAUCCCCAGAAUAUCCAGGGGCAACCAAACCACGAAGCUCGAAGUGUCCGUUUGAUUAGGAACGCAAGCUGUACCAAGUAGCCCACCCGCCAGGGCAUGGCCUCUCUCUCUAAGGUCCAGACUCAUUAAAGUCCAGUGGCACCGGAGCUUCACCUUGUCUCAACUUGUCUAAUGCCUGUCACACGUUCUGAGGAUAUGCCUGGCAUAGCCAGACUCACCUGGUCACGUGUUUAAACUCUGGAUUCCUUUGCCUAAGAGAAGGGGGUGGGAGUACUUCCAAGGACUGUUCCUGUGGGAAAAGGGCUACCACGGGAACGGUUUUCAGACACUGACUCUCCUGCUCUGCUUUUUCAGUCGCUGCGAUGCCCUGGGACUCUCCAGUAACAAUUCUUGCCUCCCGCCCCGCCCNNNNNNNNNNNNNNNNNNNNNCUAAGCUUCCUGAAAUCACCGCUAAUCUGCCAGCCAACUCCGCCCAUUCACCCUUCCUUUUUAUGAAAAUAUAAAUUUAUACAUAUUUCA
ensembl:antisense Gm2415 predicted gene 2415